GUCUAUGUCGUCCUGGAAACGGGUUACGACGUCGGGUCUCGCCGUAAAAAGUGGGGCUGUCUGAAAACCCUUGAAUAAAAAACUUUGUUGCUUUGGCGGGCCGCCUCUCGAGGCGUUGGCUCACGCUGACUGUGCCCGCCAGAGGCCCAAAACUCUACUGUCUCUGACGUCUGAGUAUUAUAUAAUAGUUA
rnacentral:misc_RNA from 1 species